rnacentral:rRNA from 1 species
GUGUCAGCAGCCGCGGUAAUACGGAGGGUGCAAGCGUUAAUCGGAAUUACUGGGCGUAAAGCGUGCGUAGGCGGUUUGCUAAGUCAGAUGUGAAAGCCCCGGGCUUAACCUGGGAACGGCAUUUGAAACUGGUUAACUUGAGUUUAGUAGAGGGGAGUGGAAUUUCAGGUGUAGCGGUGAAAUGCGUAGAUAUCUGAAGGAACACCAGUGGCGAAGGCGACUCCCUGGACUAGAACUGACGCUGAGGUACGAAAGCGUGGGUAGCAAACAGGAUUAGAAACCCCCGUAGUCC